rnacentral:rRNA from 1 species
GUUAUAUGGUCAAGCGAAUAAGCGCACACGGUGGAUGCCUUGGCGGUCAGAGGCGAUGAAGGACGUGGCAGCCUGCGAAAAGUAUCGGGGAGCUGGCAACAAGCUUUGAUCCGGUAAUGUCCGAAUGGGGAAACCCACCCGCUUGCGGGUAUCCUGCAGUGAAUACAUAGCUGCUGGAAGCGAACCUGGUGAAUUGAAAUAUCUAAGUAACCAGAGGAAAAGAAAUCAACCGAGAUUCCGUAAGUAGCGACGAGCGAACGCGGACUAGCCCUUAAGCUGAUUUGGUUCUAGGAAAACGCUCUGGAAAGAGUGGCCAUAGAAGGUGAUAGCCCUGUAUCUGAAAGGGCCAUUUCAGUGAAGACGAGUAGGGCGGGGCACGUGAAACCCUGUCUGAACAUGGGGGGACCAUCCUCCAAGGCUAAAUACUACUGACCGACCGAUAGUGAACCAGUACCGUGAGGGAAAGGCGAAAAGAACCCCGGAGAGGGGAGUGAAAUAGAACCUGAAACCGUGUGCGUACAAGCAGUAGGAGCUCCGCAAGGAGUGACUGCGUACCUUUUGUAUAAUGGGUCAGCGACUUACUGUUCGUGGCAAGCUUAACCGUAUAGGGGAGGCGAAGGGAAACCGAGUCUGAUAAGGGCGCAUAGUCGCGGGCAGUAGACCCGAAACCGGGUGAUCUAGUCAUGCCCAGGGUGAAGGUGCGGUAACACGCACUGGAGGCCCGAACCCACUCCCGUUGCAAAGGUAGGGGAUGAGGUGUGAUUAGGAGUGAAAAGCUAAUCGAACCCGGAGAUAGCUGGUUCUCCUCGAAAGCUAUUUAGGUAGCGCCUCAUAUGUAUCCUCUCGGGGGUAGAGCACUGUUAUGGCUAGGGGGUCAUCGCGACUUACCAAACCAUUGCAAACUCCGAAUACCGAGACGGACUGUAUGGGAGACACACGGCGGGUGCUAACGUCCGUCGUGAAAAGGGAAACAACCCAGACCCACAGCUAAGGUCCCAAAUUUUGUGCUAAGUGGAAAACCAUGUGGAAAGGCACAGACAGCCAGGAGGUUGGCUUAGAAGCAGCCACCCUUUAAAGAAAGCGUAAUAGCUCACUGGUCGAGUCGGUCUGCGGGGAAGAUUUAACGGGGCUAAGCACAGAACCGAAGCUUGGGGUGCAUACUUUGUAUGCGCGGUAGAGGAGCGUUCCGUAAGCCGUUGAAGGUGGAUUGAGAAGUCUGCUGGAGGUAUCGGAAGUGCGAAUGCUGACAUGAGUAACGAUAAUGCGGGUGAAAAACCCGCACGCCGAAAGCCCAAGGUUUCCUUGCGCAACGUUAAUCGGCGCAGGGUGAGUCGGCCCCUAAGGCGAGGACGAAAGUCGUAGUCGAUGGGAAGCAGGUUAAUAUUCCUGCACCUCGCGUAAGUGCGAUGGAGGGACGGAGAAGGUUAGGUGUACCAGGCGUUGGUUGUCCUGGGGAAAGGCGGUAGGUUUGGAUCUUUGGCAAAUCCGGGAUCCUUCAAGACCGAGCACCGAGACGAGCCUUUAAGGCGAAGUCACUGAUACCACGCUUCCAGGAAAAGCUCCUAAGCUUCAGCUUACGCAGACCGUACCGUAAACCGACACAGGUGGGUAGGAUGAGAAUUCUCAGGCGCUUGAGAGAACUCGGGUGAAGGAACUAGGCAACAUGGCACCGUAACUUCGGGAGAAGGUGCACCCUUUUUGGUGGCUCGUGCGAGCUAUAGCUGAAGAGGGUCGCAGUAACCAGGCCGCUGCGACUGUUUAUCAAAAACACAGCACUCUGCAAACACGAAAGUGGACGUAUAGGGUGUGACGCCUGCCCGGUGCUGGAAGGUUAAUUGAUGGGGUCAGCCGCAAGGCGAAGCUCUUGAUCGAAGCCCCAGUAAACGGCGGCCGUAACUAUAACGGUCCUAAGGUAGCGAAAUUCCUUGUCGGGUAAGUUCCGACCUGCACGAAUGGCGUAACGACAGCGGCGCUGUCUCCACCCGAGACUCAGUGAAAUUGAAAUCGCUGUGAAGAUGCAGCGUUCCCGUGGCAAGACGGAAAGACCCCGUGAACCUUUACUAUAGCUUUACACUGAACGUUGAGUUCGUCUGUGUAGGAUAGGUGGGAGGCUAUGAAACCAUGGCGCUAGCUGUGGUGGAGCCAUCCUUGAAAUACCACCCUGUCGUGCUUGACGUUCUAACCUAGGCCCAUUAUCUGGGUCGGGGACCGUGUAUGGUGGGUAGUUUGACUGGGGCGGUCUCCUCCUAAAGAGUAACGGAGGAGCUCGAAGGUACGCUCAGCGCGGUCGGACAUCGCGCACUGUGUGCAAAGGCAUAAGCGUGCUUGACUGCAAGAUCGACGGAUCAAGCAGGUAGGAAACUAGGACUUAGUGAUCCGGUGGUUCUGUAUGGAAGGGCCAUCGCUCAACGGAUAAAAGGUACUCCGGGGAUAACAGGCUGAUACCGCCCAAGAGUUCAUAUCGACGGCGGUGUUUGGCACCUCGAUGUCGGCUCAUCACAUCCUGGGGCUGUAGUCGGUCCCAAGGGUAUGGCUGUUCGCCAUUUAAAGUGGUACGCGAGCUGGGUUCAGAACGUCGUGAGACAGUUCGGUCCCUAUCUGCCAUGGGCGUUGGAGAUUUGAGAGGGGCUGCUCCUAGUACGAGAGGACCGGAGUGGACGAACCUCUGGUGUUCCGGUUGUCACGCCAGUGGCAUUGCCGGGUAGCUAUGUUCGGAAGCGAUAACCGCUGAAAGCAUCUAAGCGGGAAGCGCGCCUCAAGAUGAGAUCUCCCGGGGCACAAGCCCCCUGAAGGAACCAUGUAGACUACGUGGUUGAUAGGUCAGGUGUGUAAGUACAGCAAUGUAUUGAGCUAACUGAUACUAAUGAUCCGUGCGGCUUGACCAUAUAACCU